GUGCUUGCACAGCAGGCAGCGAAACCACUGAGCUAAAUCCCUGGCCCUAGACAUACAUUGUCUUAUAUAAUAAUUGUUUUACUUAUUGAACUACAAAACUGAUAUUUACCUCUUACAGUAUCACUAAUGUAGUAAUGUCUAACAUCCUUAAUAUUGAGCAUAUGCAGAAGCUAUUUGAGAAACUAGAAUGUCACCUUUUUAUUAAAUGAUUAAAUUAUUAAUCUGUUAUUAUAAUUUUAAUAAUCUUAAAAUAACUAGAUAUCAAAGAAGAAAAUAAAUUUAAUGUGUAGUGAAAUUACAAGUACUAAAAUAUACAGACUAUAAGUCAAAGCAUUAAAGUAUUUCAUUGAUUCUCAUUUUCUUUAAAUUGAGAUAUAAACUAUACUUACACUAUAUAAUUUGAUGUUUACAUUAUAUAUAUUUUGUAUGUGCACACAUAAAAUAGUCAUGCCAGUCAAGAUAUUGUGAAUAUGCUCAUUGCUCUUGAAAGUACCUUCUUGCCCAUUUGUAACUUCUCUUAUCAACUUUCUGUCACUAUAGAUUUAUUUUCAAUUUCUGGAAUUUGAUAUAAAUGGAACUGUAUGGCAUAUAAACUUGUCUGGCUUCUUACUCCAUAAUUCACGAUUUAUCAGUUGUCUUACUCUUGUUUUCUGUUGCUCUAAGUAAAUACCAUGAGCAGGGUACUGGGUAGUUUAUAAAGAAAAGAGAUUUAUUUAGCUCAUAGUCCUGGAAGCUGGGAGACCAAGGUUAAGGGUCCAGAUCUAGUUAGGGCCUUCUGCUAGGAGGGACUUUAUUCAGAAUAGCUAGGUAUUACUGCAAAUCACAUAGCAAGACAAAGUAAGUUUGCUAACUUGGGUCUCUCUCUUCUUCUUGUAAAGCCAGUUGUAUCAUGUGGAACCUACCUUCAUGAUUUCAUCUAACCCUAAAUCUCCCAAAAGCCCAGCCUCCAAAUACCAUUAACAUAUGAAUUUAAGGAUUGUUUCUAACAGGUGAAUUCCUAGGGACACACCCAAACCACAGUAUAUGUGUUACAUGAUCAAUAGUUCAUUUCUUUUCAUUAUUACACAAUUUAUACAUUCACCUGUUAAUAGACAUUUUGCUUAUUUCCAGUUUUUAGUUACCACACACAGCUGGUGUGAAUAUUUGUGUACAAGUAUUUGUUUUUAAUUAUCACAAAAACAGCUGGUAUGAAUGUUUGUAUACACGUAUUUCAUUUCUCUUAGAUUAUUACCGAGAAGUAUAAAGACAGAAUCCUGUAAUACAAACAUGUUUAACCUUUUCAGGGAAUUAUGACACUGCUUUCCAAAGUGGAUGUGCCACUUUACAUUCCCAUCAACAAUUUAUAAGAAGUUUAUGCCAUAUCUUUGUCAACAUCUGGUUGGUCAAGAGAUGCAUUUCUGGUAAAGUGACAGUCGAACAAAAGACAUGAAAAAAAUGGAAAAGGGACUGUUGGAAGAAUGGGGUCCUUAAGUAGAUAAGAGGAUGGCAUCCAGCACUCAAAUGGCAAGACUGGCCUCAUACUGAACCUUGAACAAUUUGUUUGUAGUAACUCACAUUGAAGAGAGGGGAAGAGAUGUGGAAGAUUUGAAUAGAGAAAAAAAGCAUAUCAAAACUUAGAUGUACAAGCAUAUUUUUGAACAAAAGAAAUUACCUUUUGAGGCAAUGGCACAUUCUUUUAAAUAGCCUGAGGGGUAGCAAGUUUUUAGUCCUUUGUAUUACUUAAGACACAGGUUAACACAAUGCUUCAGCAUAAGGUAAUAUUUGUCUCUUAUGUAAUUAUCCAAAAGUAGAAGUUCCAGAAGUCCUCAACGUGUGGCUUCUAUUUUCCCUCCAUGAGGCUUUAUCAGUUGCUGUCAUCAAGUCCUUAGCAGUAAUAAGGGGACAGAAAGAGAAGCAGAGCAGAGCAUACAUAUCCCCACCAUGUGAGAGUCAUUAACUGGAAAUAAUGCAUACAUACUUUUCACUCAUUCCUUUUGGCCAGAGUUCAGUCACUUGGCGGCCUAACUGCAAAGAAACCUAGAAAACUGAUUAGGGUGGCUGCUCACCUAAAAUUCAAAACUUUACUAUUGGGCUGGGGAUUUAGCUCAGUGGUUCUGCUGCCUGCCUUACAAGCACAAGGUCCCGAGUUCAAUCUCCGGUAUCAAAAAAAAAAAAAAGAGCGCCGGGGAUUUAGCUCAGUGGUUUCGCCGCCUGCUGCGCAAGCGCAAGAACCCGAGUUCGAUCCCUGGUACCAAAAAAAAAAAAACUUUACUAUUAAAGGAGAAAGAGAAAUAGGUAUCAGAGGACAGCUACCAGUCCUUGUCAUAUUUUUCAGAGAUAGUUUUAUAUUUGGAGAUGUAACAGUUAUUUGGAACCUGAGACUAGUUAAGCUAAUUUUAAAGUUUAAGUUACCAAAGUCUGGAGUUUAGUUAAUAUGAAUGUAUUAAUGUUGGUUUCUUCAUUUUGACCAGUCUACCACAGUAAUGUAAAAAGAAAACAUUGACUAGUCAAGGAGUUGUAGGAGCUCUCUAUGCUAUCUUUUCUACUUUUCUAUAAAUUUAAUGGUUUUCUAAAAUAUAAAUUUGUCUAUGGCCAUAACCCUGAAUGCACCUGUUCUCAUCUAAAAUAUAAAUUUUAUUUAAAACAAAAUAACAAAAAACACUGCGCUUCAGAAAUACACACAACCAUGCAAAAGUAGCUGUGAACCACAGAAUAGGGCUUCCAAAUAUUCAUUAAGUACUUAACCAUAUGUUUUACUUAUCUGUACCCCAACUUUUCUCAAAGGAUUUGAAGAAUUAAAGGUUCAUAUAGUAGUCACAGUAAUGAAAACAUUUAUUAUAAUAGCAUUUUUUAAAUUUAGCCAGUCACCAGUGCUAACAACUUUAUGUGAAUUGUCAUUUAAUCCUUGCAAAAGGCUUUUGAAGUGAAUGCUGUUAACCUCAUUUUACGGGCAAGCAACUAAACUUGAGACAAAAUACUGAACCUCUGUGAGUCACACAGCUAGAAAGUGUUAGUGCUGGGGUUGAACCCAACCUUACUCUUGUAUAACAUAUGUAUUAGAGAUCUCUAAAUAGCAUGC